rnacentral:lncRNA from 9 species
CUUUAUCUUCAGGGCAAACCGCCACCGAGUGCAGUUGCAGAAUACAUGGCUCUGCUCAGUUCACUUAGCACCGUAUUUGAUCGGUGGGGCUUGUGGGCAAGUGUCAGAAUAAUAAGGACACUAAUCAUUUGUAAUUGUGUGGCAUCACUCAUCCAGGAAUCUCCGAGGACUUUGCGGGAGCUAAUUAAUUCUGACAAUGCCUCUGUGAGCCAGAACUGGGCAUCGAGUCUGGCCAAGGGAAAUGAUACAGUGAUAACUGGAUUGCAUCAGUCAUGAUACAUUUUGGGGAGAUCAAAACUGCCAACGUGAAGGACGAUGCAGAGGCAAAUCAGCACACUUGCCAAUGGUAUGGCUCAGAAAAGCGGAACCUGUGAUCACCACCUACCGCCAAUAGAUUGUAUCCCCACAGACUUCUCAAACGGAAUAUGAAACAUAGGUUAUAAAGUAGCUGUGUGUGUGUGUAAAAGAGUGAUGUGUGUAUCAGAUGAAAAGGAUUACAUGCACACGUGCACAUAUAUUCCAGUCCAAAUUCCAGAUUGCCUGGUUUGGACACCUAAAUUUUUUCGGGGAUAACAAUUUUCAGGAAUUCUAUAC